rnacentral:rRNA from 1 species
UAGGGAAUCUUCGGCAAUGGACGAAAGUCUGACCGAGCAACGCCGCGUGAGUGAAGAAGGUUUUCGGAUCGUAAAACUCUGUUGUUAGAGAAGAACAAGGACGUUAGUAACUGAACGUCCCCUGACGGUAUCUAACCAGAAAGCCACGGCUAACUACGUGCCAGCAGCCGCGGUAAUACGUAGGUGGCAAGCGUUGUCCGGAUUUAUUGGGCGUAAAGCGAGCGCAGGCGGUUUCUUAAGUCUGAUGUGAAAGCCCCCGGCUCAACCGGGGAGGGUCUUUGGAACCUGGGAGACUUGAGUGCAGAAGAGGAGAGUGGAAUUCCAUGUGUAGCGGUGAAAUGCGUAGAUAUAUGGAGGAACACCAGUGGCGAAGGCGGCUCUCUGGUCUGUAUCUGACGCUAGGGCUCGAAAGCGUGGGGAGCAAACAGG